rnacentral:rRNA from 1 species
AAACCAACCGGGAUUGCCUCAGUAACGGCGAGUGAAGCGGCAAAAGCUCAAAUUUGAAAUCUGGUAUCUUGCGAUGCCCGAGUUGUAAUUUGAAGAAGGUAACUUUGGGAGUGGCCCUUAUCUAUGUUCCUUGGAACAGGACGUCACAGAGGGUGAGAAUCCCGUCUGAUGGGGAGAUCCACUUCUAUGUAAAGUGCUUUCGACGAGUCGAGUUGUUUGGGAAUGCAGCUCUAAGUGGGUGGUAAAUUCCAUCUAAAGCUAAAUAUUGGCGAGAGACCGAUAGCGAACAAGUACAGUGAUGGAAAGAUGAAAAGAACUUUGAAAAGAGAGUGAAAAAGUACGUGAAAUUGUUGAAAGGGAAGGGUAUUAGAUCAGACUUGGUUGUGUGUGCUUACCGUGGACUUGUUUUGCGGGUACUCGCGCACGGCUGGGCCAGCAUCGAUUGAUUUGGCAGGAUAAAGACUAUUGGAACGUGGCACUCGUAUUUUGCGGGUGUGUUAUAGCCAUGGUCAAUACUGCCCUGGUCGAUCGAGGACUGCGUUCAUUUUGAACUAGGAUGCUGGCGUAAUGAUCUAAUAUCGC